rnacentral:rRNA from 1 species
UACAGAGGGGGCAAGCGUUAUUCGGAAUUAUUGGGCGUAAAGGGCGCGUAGGCGGCCUGGCAAGUGGAAGGUGAAAUCCCUCGGCUUAACCGAGGAACUGCCCUCCAAACUGCUUGGCUUGAGUCCGGGAGAGGUGAGUGGAAUUCCCAGUGUAGCGGUGAAAUGCGUAGAGAUCCGGAGGAACACCAGUGGCGAAGGCGACACGCUGGGCCGUACCUGACGCUAAAGCGCGACAGCAUGGGGAGCAAACGGG